UACGAAGGGGGCGAGCGUUGUCCGGAAUUAUUGGGCGUAAAGGGCUCGUAGGCGGUUUGUCGCGUCGGGAGUGAAAACUCAGGGCUUAACCCUGAGCCUGCUUCCGAUACGGGCAGACUAGAGGUAUGCAGGGGAGAACGGAAUUCCUGGUGUAGCGGUGAAAUGCGCAGAUAUCAGGAGGAACACCGGUGGCGAAGGCGGUUCUCUGGGCAUUACCUGACGCUGAGGAGCGAAAGUGUGGGGAGCGAACAGG
rnacentral:rRNA from 1 species